CUCAAGUGGAGAAGAAACGGCGAGGCGCUCAUCAAACUCACUAGUACCCAAUGGGAUGGUGGAAGUUUGUUUGUUGGUCAGAGCAUGGAGUGCUGCAGGACGGAUCUCCUUGGAACGCAUGGAGGAAACCUGAAAAGCAUCGUCGGGUCAACAUUUGAAGAAGUUUGCUGCUAAUAUGAGAAGAGUUUGUUCACCCAUAGAUUCCAACAAACAUGAGCCCCAUUGGUCAUAAAAUCUCAAGCCCUGUGAGAAAACGAAGCAGUGCAGAACAUGCACUGUGUCUUACCACAGGAAUGCGUGCCUUUGCUCUUAAAAGACAUUCUCCCUCUGUCUCUGCAGCUCUAAAAAGCAGCAUUUGGGAUCCCAAGCCAAGCCUCCUGGGCUUCACUGGAGAACCAUUAAUGACUUCAGUGUGUGACUACUGGAAACAUGUUUCAGAGCAGCUCAAUAUACGGAACAAUGCAACGCCUGGAACCGGAAACCACGUGAGCCGGCUCUUCCCCUGCAGCCCUGGUCCUGAAGGGCCCCAGCCCAAACCCCAGCAAACCCAUGCAUCGUUCUGCAUGGCUGUGCCGUAGCGACGGAUCGACGCGUGCGCGUCAUCGCCAGGCGGCCUUUGUGUCAUUGGCAGCAGGGGGAAGUCGUGCAGACAGACAAAACCAAAAGGAAGAAAUGUGUGAAGCCGAGGAAUGUGACUUAACUGCUGCCUGCACCACAAGAGACAGAGUUAGGAACAUCUGAAGCAAA